rnacentral:rRNA from 1 species
GGCAGAGGGUGCAAACGUUGCUCGGAAUUACUGGGCGUAAAGCGCGUGUAGGCGGGCUGAUAAGUCGGAUGUGAAAUCCCUGAGCUCAACUCAGGAACUGCAUUCGAAACUGUCAGUCUUGAGUAGUGGAGAGGAAAGCAGAAUUCCUGGUGUAGAGGUGAAAUUCGUAGAUAUCAGGAGGAACACCGGUGGCGAAGGCGGCUUUCUGGACACUUACUGACGCUGAGACGCGAAAGCGUGGGGAGCAAACAGG